UACGGAGGGUGCAAGCGUUAUCCGGAUUCAUUGGGUUUAAAGGGUGCGCAGGCGGGGGUUUAAGUCAGUGGUGAAAUCCCGUAGCUCAACUACGGAACUGCCAUUGAUACUGAAUCUCUUGAGUCUGGUUGAUGUGAAUGGAAUGUGUCAUGUAGCGGUGAAAUGCUUAGAUAUGACACAGAACACCAAUCGCGAAGGCAGUUCACAAAGCCAGUACUGACGCUCAGGCACGACAGCAUGGGGAGCAAACAGGAUUAGAUACCCUGGUAGUCCAUGCCGUAAACGUUGAUCACUCGACAUUGGCGAUAUACUGUCCAGUGUCCAAGCGAAAGUGUUAAGUGAUCCACCUGGGGAGUACGCCCGCAAGGGUGAA
rnacentral:rRNA from 1 species